UUACAAAAUCAGAUCUCCUGUGUUUCUCGUCUUCAAACAAGGACUGCACUAUACCACUGAUAUUGAGAUCAACACUACUUUGUCAAGCCUCCUAUUCAUUCUUCUGUGCAUACCUGAAAAAUUGGUGAGUGCUGGCAGGAAAUAUUCAGCUCCUCUGAUGAAGAGGUCAUUUGUGGAACAUUCCAAACAAAGCAUGUCCUUCUAUGCUUCCAUCAACAUUCUGUCUGUGCCACUUAACAUGCAGUGCUUUGCUAACAAAUAAGAAAUUGAUCUACUUCUGCUC